rnacentral:rRNA from 1 species
UACGUAGGUGGCAAGCGUUGUCCGGAUUUAUUGGGUUUAAAGGGUGCGUAGGCGGCUUUGUAAGUCAGCGGUGAAAUACUCUAGCUUAACUAGAGGGGUGCCAUUGAUACUGCAGAGCUUGAGUACAGAUGAGGUAGGCGGAAUUGACGGUGUAGCGGUGAAAUGCAUAGAUAUCGUCAAGAACACCGAUAGCGAAGGCAGCUUACUGGGCUGUAACCGACGCUGAUGCACGAAAGUGUGGGGAUCAAACAGG